rnacentral:lncRNA from 1 species
UAAACAACACGUGCAAGGUAUACAAAUAAGGGUGAAUACAUAAAAGUUAUUUAAGGAAAACUUUUUGAAACAUAUGGUUUGUGCAAACAAAGGUAAGAAGCCCAAUUAACAAACAGUAAAAUCAAGGGUCUGAGAUUUUAUUCGAAUGAACAGGCUGAAAAAAGAAGGGUUUUAUUUAGGUCUAGUCGUGGCCAAAAAUGGAAAGAAAUCAAUCAAGUUAUAUUCAGAAGAAAUGUUGAACCAAUUGCAAAUUUGAAAAUCACUUUAGGGGAAAAUUCAUAGUAUAUAAAGAGCAUACAAACACUUCAAACGUGAAAGAAGAAAAAAAUUUAGCUUUUGGAAAAAGGUCCGAAUCAUAUGAAAAUAGAAUUGACUUUUCAGAAAUUGAAAUCAAACUAGUUCAGUGGUGAGAACAUGCAAGUCAAACACACAUGGUCUGAAAAACCCCCAAAUUCUAGGGUUUUCGUCAUUACUCAGGUGUAGGGACGAAGACGGAUAAAUCAGACAACAGAAAACUUAGAAAAAUACAAAGGAACUUAAUUGUUCCGUGAAAACAUGCUGAGGGAACACAGUAAAAGAAAAUAGAAGGAAACAUUAGGGGGAACAUAAUAGAAGAAAGCACAUAGAAGUCAAAGUAGAAACAAACAGGAGUCACAGUAGGCCAAAUACAGUAAGAAACACCUCAUAAAAUCACAGUAGAACAACUAAAAUCAAAGAAACCCUAAAUCGGAGAAGACGAAUAGUUUUGAAAGGAAACUUUAAGAAAAUCAUUUUGAAAACCUUAAAACAAGCAUAGAUCUAGAGCAGAUCUAGAGAAAUAUAGGAAAACCACGAAGGGAUAGGGUUUAGAAGACCCUCGAAGUGAGUAUGGCCUGGAAAAGGGGCUGGUCCGAGUCGAACGAGUCAGAGAUAGACUCAUAGGGCUAGGAUACGCCAGAUUUGAGCCGAAGAUGGCCGUGUAACUUGCAUCGAUAAAGGUCCAGAUUCAACUCUUCGUGGUCAAGUCAUGGGACUUCAGUAAUCAAGCGUGAGGAGCCAUAGGAGACUGGUGGGUGGUGAAACCACCAUGAAUUCAGGUCAGAAAGUGGACGGAGAAGAUGAAGGGAACUCAUCGGAGAGGAAGGGAGGCAAAAGGUUCCAGAGAGAAUAGUAGAUAGAGU